rnacentral:snoRNA from 1 species
ACCUUCUUGUUAAAGCACUGUGCUAAAAUUGCAGAAACCAAGGCUGCGCUUUGGUUUCUGUAGUAAUGCUAGCAGAGUAUAGACAAGAAGAAGAACAUCCAUGCACUGGAUCCACAAAGACAAGGGUGGACCUCUUUCUUAAUGUCCAGUGUCCUGUGUCUGAAGAUUUGGUGCAACAGUC